GGGGGUGUGAGCGGUGGUCGGGUGUGAGCGGGGUGUGAGCGGUGGUCGGUCGGGGUGUGAGCGGUGGUCGGUGUGAGCAUUGGUCGGGUGUGAGCCUGCAAGUGCUGCCCCUCCUGAACACAACGCUCUUCGUGCUUGUUGUCUUAACAGUUCAUUCAUUCCAACAUUGACGUAAACCCUUCACCCGAAGAUAUCUUUAUUACCAAGACCCUUUCCCCAAUCAAGAGAAACAACCACCUAAUCCAACAGGACAUUUACACCAACGGGGCAAG